rnacentral:lncRNA from 1 species
ACAGAGUUCCCUAACAAUUUAGUAGAAUGUUUAUGAAGUGGCUUUUCUGUUUUUGUUUUUUUUUUUUUUUUCCUAGAUUGGCUACCAGAUACAUGAUAAGCCAAUACUUGGUCCCCCAGCACCAAGUAGAAACUUCCAAAGUAACAAGGAUAAUUAAAAGAGAAACCUGUAAAGGCAACAUUCCUGUGACCGAGUUGGUGCUGCUACGUGCUGGUAAGAAAACACAUUUAAUUUUUUUUAAUUCUUUUUUUUUUUUUUUUUUUGCUUUUCAUUUAAAAAAAAAAAUAAAAAGAACUGAAGGCUUUGUCUGUCUAAUGCAGUCAUAAGCGUGGCUUCC